CUUUAUGUUUAAAAAGGUACUACUGAUGUUGUAAUACUAUAUGCCUCUUUUAUGUAGCCUAGGUCGUAUGCAAGGUUUGUUACAAGAGAAUAUAUUAGUUCCUAAAGCUAACAAAAGUGCUUUUGGCUUUCAGUAAAUUUCUGCUGUCUCUAUAGCAAUUCAAUAUCUUAAAUUUUGCCUUUAAAAACCAGGCUUUUCCAAGUGGCACAUAGAAUUGAAAGACUUUCUACAUUCUUUUAGCCGGACCUCACGGGAGUCUAUUACCUCCACAAGUAGCAUUUUCUUCCGUUGAAAUUGAAUGUUACAGUUCUUUUUUUUUUCUUUUUUUUUUCUUUUUUUUUUCCUUUGAUUUGGUUAUGAACUAAGAAAUAUGAGUUAGUUUUGGGUAUUAUGGUUGGGUUGGUUUUGAUUAAAGCUUUUUGGUUGGGUUAGUUGUAUAGUGAAAAGGCAUGUCUGUUUUAUUUCAAUGUAAUUUGUCAAGCUCCUCUGUAAAUACCACCAAAGUUCGGGUUGUGAUGAUUGAGAGUCUUUGUGUUCGUAACCAGAUUUCAACAUCCAUACUUUAGAAUGUAUAGUAAUAAUAAUUUUUUGGUAAAUGGAAUUAUGGAAUUUUUUGGAUUAA